UAUAGUGAAAUUACUGAACAUUAACGUGUAUAAUGUAUGUAAAUUGUAUGUGUAUUUUAGUGAGCAAGAAAAUUUUGAAGAGG
rnacentral:sRNA from 1 species